rnacentral:rRNA from 1 species
UACAUGGGGUGCAAACGUUGCUCGGAAUUAUUGGGCGUAAAGCGCACGUAGGCGGUCCGUUAAGUCGGAUGUGAAAGCCCCCGGCUCAACCGGGGAAGUGCAUCCGAAACUGGCGGGCUAGAGUACGAAAGAGGGUCGCGGAAUUCCCGGUGUAGAGGUGAAGUUCGUAGAUAUCGGGAGGAACACCGGUGGCGAAGGCGGCGACCUGGGUCGAUACUGACGCUGAGGUGCGAAAGCGUGGGGAGCAAACAGG